rnacentral:rRNA from 1 species
UACGUAGGGCGCAAGCGUUAUCCGGAAUUAUUGGGCGUAAAGAGCUCGUAGGCGGUUUGUCGCGUCUGCCGUGAAAGCCCGGGGCUCAACCUCGGAUCUGCGGUGGGUACGGGCAAACUAGAGUGAUGUAGGGGAGACUGGAAUUCCUGGUGUAGCGGUGAAAUGCGCAGAUAUCAGGAGGAACACCGAUGGCGAAGGCAGGUCUCUGGGCAUUAACUGACGCUGAGGAGCGAAAGCGUGGGGAGCGAACAGG